CGCGGAGUAUGUGGCUUAAUUUGACUCAACGCGGAAAAGCUUAUCUGGUCCGGACGCAGUGAGGAUUGACAGACAGUUAGACAAAAGUGGUUUUGGUAACAAAUUGAGAGAGGUGAAGUUCUUUCAUGAUCUUGUGAGAGGUGGUGCAUGGCCGUUCUUAGUUCGUGUAGUGAUAUGUCUGCCUAAUCGCGUCACGAUAACCUAUUGGUCGACAACCCAAUUAUCACAACUGCAGCAUAACUCCCCUUGGGUGGGCGAGGCUCUGUGUAGGAUAGACCUCUGAACAGUACGCAACGAACGUGAUCGUAAACCCUUGUUGAGUGGCCAUCCUGUAAGCUGCUGGAUUAGGAACCCAGUGGUAUUAUCUCAGCCACAGAUUUUCUGGUUGUAAUGGGCCAGUUUUGAAACUCGGGGCACAUCUGUGACUUUCUUUCUUAACGCAGAGGAAGGUUAUGGCAAUAACAGGUCUGUGAUG
rnacentral:rRNA from 1 species